rnacentral:rRNA from 1 species
GAAUGCUAAUACCGCAUACGUCCUAUCGGGAGAAAGCAGGGGAUCUUCGGACCUUGCGCUAAUAGAUGAGCCUAAGUCGCAUUAGCUAGUUGGUGGGGUAAAGGCCUACCAAGGCGACGAUCUGUAGCGGGUCUGAGAGGAUGAUCCGCCACACUGGGACUGAGACACGGCCCAGACUCCUACGGGAGGCAGCAGUGGGGAAUAUUGGACAAUGGGCGGAAGCCUGAUCCAGCCAUGCCGCGUGUGUGAAGAAGGCCUUUUGGUUGUAAAGCACUUUAAGCGAGGAGGAGGCUACUCUAGUUAAUACCUAGAGAUAGUGGACGUUACUCGCAGAAUAAGCACCGGCUAACUCUGUGCCAGCAGCCGCNGUAAUACAAGGGUGCGAGCGUUAAUCGGAUUUACUGGGCGUAAAGCGUGCGUAGGCGGCUGAUUAAGUCGGAUGUGAAAUCCCUGAGCUUAACUUAGGAAUUGCAUUCGAUACUGUUCACCUAGAGUAUGGGAGAGGAUGGUAGAAUUCCAGGUGUAGCGGUGAAAUGCGUAGAGAUCUGGAGGAAUACCGAUGGCGAAGGCAGCCAUCUGGCCUAAUACUGACGCUGAGGUACGAAAGCAUGGGGAGCAAACAGGAUUAGAUACCCUGGUAGUCCAAGCCGUAAACGAUGUCUACUAGCCGUUGGGGCCUUUGAGGCUUUAGUGGCGCAGCUAACGCGAUAAGUAGACCGCCUGGGGAGUACGGUCGCAAGACUAAAACUCAAAUGAAUUGACGGGGGCCCGCACAAGCGGUGGAGCAUGUGGUUUAAUUCGAUGCAACGCGAAGAACCUUACCUGGUCUUGACAUAGUAAGAACUUUCCAGAGAUGGAUUGGUGCCUCGG